rnacentral:SRP_RNA from 1 species
AGCCGGGUCCCGCGCAACGGACGGCCGCCAACCCCGUCAGGCCCGGAAGGGAGCAGCGGUAACGGUUUUGCCGUGUGCCGCGGGGGUGCCUGGCUGUC